GAGGGGCUGGCCAGGCUAUGCGGUGGGCUCUGUGCAUAGUGUGGGCUUCCUGGGCCCCACAGGCCAGGGCAGGAAAGGACGGCAGCAGGAGGGACACAUCUCAAAGGGCCUGCUGGGUCGGCUCGAAGCACAGAUGCACAACGACAGCUACAUCCCCCAGGUAGGGAGUGCGGUCCACUCCCUUAACCUUCAAGGUCUAGUGAAUGGAGGAGGAGGAGAAGGGAAAAGACACCAUCAGAGCCCAGACACCACCACCAGAGCCUCCUCGAUGGUGGCCGUGCCUCCAGAUGCUGCCGUUCUGCUUAGGAACCAAACGACUGCCACAAAGGCUUGCGUUGCCUUGAGCACAAGGGCUUCUUGUAGACAGUGUCUGGGAAGGACCUCAGGGGACAGAACUUGCCAGUGCCCUCAGCGCACAUGAAGACACCGUUCUCAUACACGACCCGCCCCCGGCUGAUGGUGACCAGUGGCACGCCAUGGCAGCGCAUGUUCUCGUACAGGUUGAAGUCUCCUCCCUGCACCUGGGUGCUGGCCGAGAUGGUCCUGGUGGGGAAGAAGUGGUGGAAGAGGGAGCUCUGAGGAGAGGCAAAGAUGCCACAGCUCAACGGGAAUGGAAGGCCCUAGUCCAACAUGACUGGUGUCCUUAUACGAAAAGAAAAUUGAGACACCAGGAGGACACACAGAGGAAACCCCACGUGAGGAGGGAGAAGACGGCCAUCUGCAAGCCAAGGAGAGAGGCCGCAGGAUGCAUCCACCCUGCCGACACCUCGGUCUGCCUUCUAGCCCCCAGAACUGUGAGGAAACAGAUUUCUGCUGUGUGAGCCCCCAGCUGCGGUGAAAAUGAUGCCCUACUCCUGCUGGUCACUCCUGGCACACUUCAUUCACUCACUCAAAGUGCGCUCACUAACGCCACGGGUGCCAGUGCCGUGCGCUCAAGGAACCGCCCGCAGCGAGAGGCGCAGAGGAUGGAGGAGCCUGGGACGGAGGGCGAGGCCGUCUGUCCGGUCAGCCACGUACUAGCUACAGGGUGUGGGGCUCCCUCUACACUCUGGUCAAUGGGAAGGAAAUAAGAACCCCAGGCGUGAGUGCUUCUCGGGGCUGUGAGUCAAAUCAAAUGAGAUAAUGGAUGGGCAGCCGCUUGGAAACACUGUCCAGCGCUGUGCAGGCGGAGCUGGUCACUGCUGUGCUCCCGGGGCCGGACCACGGGAGGCCCUCAAACAGUCAUUACGUUGAACAUGCCUCAGGUCACACUCCUCUGUGCUAGGAGUGCAGAGAGGCUCUGCUUUUGGAAUUCUGUAACACAAGCUCCUUAAGCCCCCAGACCCCCAGGCCCCCCCCCGCCCCC